rnacentral:rRNA from 1 species
UACAGAGGGUGCAAGCGUUGUUCGGAAUCAUUGGGCGUAAAGGGCGCGUAGGCGGUUGUGUAAGUCGAAUGUGAAAGCCCAGGGCUCAACCUUGGAAGUGCAUCCGAAACUACACAACUCGAAUCUCGGAGAGGGUGGUGGAAUUCCCAGUGUAGAGGUGAAAUUCGUAGAUAUUGGGAGGAACACCGGUGGCGAAGGCGACCGCCUGGACGAAGAUUGACGCUGAGGCGCGAGAGCGUGGGGAGCAAACAGG